GUUAUGAAAUAUUAUUCAAGUUAUUUUGUAUCUAGUUUUCUAAGAGAUUUGAUCGGUUAUAUUGUUGUUAGGUCAAUAAGCAGGGAUUAGCUUGUUUAUUAUUUAUAUUCAUUUAUGAGGUGAUUUUGUUUAUGGAGUUGAUAGUGCUUAUUUUUAAGGAGUUAUUAUCUAACAGUGGUUUUGUAUUAUUGUUUUGUGGUUGUGUGUUUGUUGGGGUUACUUUAUUAAUUUUUUUUAGUGAAAUAAUGAUUAGAUUAGUAAAAUUUUAUUUAUUGAGGCGAAGGCCUUAAAGUAGGUUGAAAGUGUGGAUUUUAAUUUUUAAUUAGGGGAGAUGAAUUCGGCAAAUUUAAUUUUUGACUGUUUAGCAAAAACAUUGUUUUUUGUUGGGGUAAAAAGUAAGUUCUGUCCACUGCUGUUAGGUGAAGGGCUGCAGUAUUUUGACUGUAUGAAGGUAGCAUAAUCAUUAGCUUUUUAAUUGGGGGCUGGUAUGAAGGUGAAACAGGGAUUGUCUGUAUUUGUUCUAUUGAUUGAAUUUUAUGUUUGUGUGAAAAAUCAUAAUUAAAUUAGAGGGACAAGAAGACCCUAAUAAGUUUUAUUUUUUUAUUUUAUGAUAAUAUAGGUAUUAUUUAUUUGACUGGAGUACGGGGGUUUAGCUGGGGCGGCUGUUUAUUUAACAUGAACAAAUUUUUAACUUUAUUUGGC
rnacentral:rRNA from 1 species